AUAAGACGCAGGGACUUUUUCCCCCCACUUCUGGGGGGAAGUCUUAUGGUCCGAAAACUACGGUAAUUCAACAAAUACUAAGCUUCUACCAUGUGUCAAGCACUUGGGCUACAAAAGGCCAUUCUUGUGUGGAGCUUUCAUCUUUGUGGGGAAGGAGGUGUGGGAGACACAAUAAACAAAUUAAAUAUGCAAAACACACACUAAAUUGGGUGUGGCGUUUUCUAUGGAGGAAAAUAAAGCAGGAAGCUCUAUGAGAAGGUAGAAUUUGAGCAGUGACCUGAAGGUGGUAACAAAGUGAGCCAAGUGGAAAUCUGGGGGCAGAACUGCGUUCUAGGCCAAAAACAUUAACAAGCACCAAGGUCUUGAGGUGGUGCAUGCCUGGUGUGCCAGGAAACAACAGGGAUGGCAGUGUGCAGGAGAGAACAUUUGGCAGAUCAUUAGGGUCUUAUAGGCCUUGGUUUUGGCUUUUACAGAGUAAGAUGGGAAACCAGUGGAGCGUUUUGAGUAUCCAGUGAUGUGAUUGGAUAUAUUUUAAUAGCAUCAGCAAUGGGCAGACUCAGAGAGACCUCUUAGGACGUUAUUGCAAAAUUCUAAAUAUCAGAGUAUGGUAGAUUGUAACAGGAUGGUAGCAGUAGAGGUAGU